GAUGAACGCUGGCGGCGUGCCUAAUACAUGCAAGUCGAGCGAACAGACGAGGAGCUUGCUCCUCUGACGUUAGCGGCGGACGGGUGAGUAACACGUGGAUAACCUACCUAUAAGACUGGGAUAACUUCGGGAAACCGGAGCUAAUACCGGAUAAUAUAUUGAACCGCAUGGUUCAAUAGUGAAAGACGGUUUUGCUGUCACUUAUAGAUGGAUCCGCGCCGCAUUAGCUAGUUGGUAAGGUAACGGCUUACCAAGGCAACGAUGCGUAGCCGACCUGAGAGGGUGAUCGGCCACACUGGAACUGAGACACGGUCCAGACUCCUACGGGAGGCAGCAGUAGGGAAUCUUCCGCAAUGGGCGAAAGCCUGACGGAGCAACGCCGCGUGAGUGUUGAAGGUCUUCGGAUCGUAAAACUCUGUUAUUAGGGAAGAACAAAUGUGUAAGUAACUAUGCACGUCUUGACGGUACCUAAUCAGAAAGCCACGGCGAACUACGU
rnacentral:rRNA from 1 species